AUUGAACGCUGGCGGCAUGCCUAACACAUGCAAGUCGAACGGGGCAGCAAUGCCUAGUGGCGGACGGGUGAGGAAUACGUAGGAAUCUGCCCUUAAGUGGGGGAUAACCAGGGGAAACCCUGACUAAUACCGCAUGAUCUCUUCGGAGCAAAGAGGGGGACCGCAAGGCCUCUCGCUUCUGGAUGAGCCUACGUCUGAUUAGCUAGUUGGUAGGGUAAAGGCCUACCAAGGCGACGAUCAGUAACUGGUCUGAGAGGAUGAUCAGUCACACCGGAACUGAGACACGGUCCGGACUCCUACGGGAGGCAGCAGUGGGGAAUAUUGGACAAUGGGCGCAAGCCUGAUCCAGCAAUGCCGCGUGUGUGAAGAAGGCCUUCGGGUUGUAAAGCACUUUAGCCUGGAAAGAAAAAACUUUGGUUAACACCCAAAGUCUUGACGGUACCAGGAGAAUAAGCACCGGCUAACUUCGUGCCAGCCGCCGCCGUAAGAC
rnacentral:rRNA from 1 species